rnacentral:rRNA from 1 species
AAUGAAAUAAAUUGGUGGAAUAAAGUAAAUAUUUAUUUUAAAUAAAUUUUUUAAAUAAAAAAUUAAAGGUAAAAUUUUUAUUUUUUUAAAUGAAAAAUUGUGGAAAAAUAAAGUAUCUUUGAAAAUAAAGAUUUAAACUAGGAUUAGAUACCCUAUUAUUCUUUAUUAUAUUAGUUGCCAGGGUAGUAAAAUUUUUUAAACCUAAAGAAUUUGGCGGUACUUUAUUCUUACUAGAGGAACCUGCUCUUGGAUCGAUAAUCCACGUUUAAAUGUACAUGUUUUAGUUUUCAGUCUGUAUACCGCCGUUGUCAGAUUAUUUUUAAAAAAUAUAAUCUAAUUAGUAGUUAAUUGGGACUUCAGGUCAAGGUGCAGCUUAUAAGCAUGGGAGUAGUGGGUUACAAUAAAUUAAAAUUAUACGGAUUAAUUAAUGUAAAGUUAAUUAUGAAGGUGGAUUUAGUAGUAAAUUAAUAAUAAAAUUCUUUUUUGAAAUGAGCUCUGAAGUGUGUACACAUCGCCCGUCGCUCUCUCCCUUAAGGAGAG